UACAGAGGUGGCAAGCGUUGUUCGGAAUUACUGGGCGUAAAGGGCGCGUAGGCGGUCUUGCAAGUCCUGUGUGAAAUCCCUCGGCUCAACUGAGGAACUGCACAGGAAACUGCUUGGCUUGAGUUCGGGAGAGGGAAGCGGAAUUCCGGGUGUAGCGGUGAAAUGCGUAGAUAUCCGGAGGAACACCGGUGGCGAAGGCGGCCUCCUGGACCGACACUGACGCUGAGGCGCGAAAGCUAAGGGAGCAAACGGG
rnacentral:rRNA from 1 species